AUGGUUCACCGUCUCCCCGCCCGCCGUCGUCUGGGUCGCGAACCGCGACCGCCCGCUCGACGCCCUGUCCUCCGGCGUAGUCACGCUCAGCGCCGGAGGAGACCUCGUGCUCCUCGACACCGCGAGGGACAACGAGACCGUCUGGUCGUCCAACUCCUCAGCCGCGGCGCCGGCUGCGGCCGCGCAGCUCCACGACAACGGCAACCUGGUGCUAGCGAGCGAGGCCGGCGCCGUGGCGUGCAGAGCUUCGAGCACCCCACCAACACGUUCAUCUCCGGGAUGCGGACCGGGAGGGACCUCCGGACCGGCGCCGCGUGGUCCCUCUCCUCGUGGCGCGACGCCGACGACCCGUCCGCCGGCGACUUCCGCUACGACAUGGACGCGGGCGGCUCGCCGGAGCUGCACAUCUGGAGGGAGGGGCGCAAGACGUACCGGACGGGGGCCUGGAACGGCGUGCGGUUCAGCGGCAUACCGGAGAUGACCAGCUUCGAGGACAUGUUCGAGUUCCGGUUCACCGACACCGCCGACGAGGUCUCCUACGGGUACCGCGACCGCGCCGGCUCGCCGCCGUCCCGCGUGGUGCUGAACGAGUCCGGCGUGAUGCAGCGCAUGGUCUGGGACCGCGCCACGGGCGCGUGGAACACCUUCUGGUCGGGGCCGAGGGACCAUUGCGACAGCUACGGCCUGUGCGGCGCGUUCGGCGUUUGCAACGUGGCGGACGCCAUCGUGUGCAGCUGCGUCCGGGGGUUCCGGCAGAGGUCGCCGGCGGAGUGGCGCAUGAGGGACGCGUCCGGCGGGUGCGCCCGAAGAACGCCGCUGCGGUGCGGCGGUGCGGGCGGCGACGGGUUCUACGCCCUGCGCGGUGUGAAGCUGCCGGAGACGCACGGCAGCAGCGUGGACGCCGGCGCCUCGGUCGAGGAGUGCGGGCGGAGGUGCCUGUCCAACUGUAAUUGCACGGCGUACGCGGCGUCGGACAUCCGUGGAGGCGGGGCCGGCACCGGGUGCAUACAGUGGUUCGGCGAGCUGAUGGACACGCGGUUCGUCGACGGCGGGCAGGAUCUCUUCGUCAGGCUGGCGUUGUCUGACCUAGAGAGAACCAAGACCAAGAAGUUCGCGGCGGUCAUCGCCGCGGUGACAGCGGGGUUUGCAUUGCUUGUGCUAUCGAUCGGCCUCCUGAUCUGGAGAAGGAUCCGGCGCGGCCAGGAAGCCACCAUGUUUGAAGACAUCUUGAGUGGCGAAUGUCCGACGUACCAUCUCGAAGUCAUUAGAGCCGCCACCGGUGGGUUCUGCCCCAAAAACGAGAUCGGCCGUGGUGGCUUCGGCAUUGUUUACAAGGGUGAAAUGCCAGACGGCCAGGAAGUUGCGGUGAAGAAACUGUCGACGGAGAACAGGGUGCAAGGACUGAGAGAGUUCAAGAACGAGGUGGACCUAAUCGCCAAGCUGCAGCACCGCAACCUCGUACGCCUGCUCGGCUGCUGCAUCCACUGCUCCGAGAGGAUACUGGUCUACGAGUACAUGACCAACAAGAGCUUGGACACAUUCAUUUUCGAUCCAAGGAGGCGCGCCACCUUGAGUUGGAAGAAAAGGAUGGACAUCAUCCUAGGCGUUGCUAGAGGGCUGCUCUACCUUCACCAGGACUCGAGGCACACGAUGAUCCACCGAGACCUCAAGGCAGCUAACGUUCUCCUUGACGGGGACAUGGUGGCCAAGAUAUCGGAUUUCGGAAUCGCCAAGCUAUUCAGCAGCAUCGGCGACAGUCAGGACUCGACCGUCACAGAAAGAAUUGUUGGAACAUAUGGCUACAUGUCACCGGAUAUGCCAUGGAUGGCUUGA
rnacentral:rRNA from 1 species